UACAGAGGGUGCGAGCGUUGUCCGGAAUCACUGGGCGUAAAGGGCGCGUAGGUGGCGAUCCAAGUCCAUGGUGAAAGCUCGAUGCUCAACAUCGAGUCGGCCACGGAUACUGGGUUGCUUGAGCACUGUAGGGGCAGAUGGAAUUCCGGGUGUAGCGGUGGAAUGCGUAGAGAUCCGGAAGAACACCGGUGGCGAAGGCGGUCUGCUGGGCAGUUGCUGACACUGAGGCGCGACAGCGUGGGGAGCGAACAGG
rnacentral:rRNA from 1 species